rnacentral:lncRNA from 1 species
CUCAUUCAAUGUAUUGUAUUCAAUUGAGAUAUACGAAGCACUAAUACAUGUCACGGCUGAGAAGUGGAAUCCAUGUGUCGGUGUGUUAAACACGGACACAUGCCAAACAACGGACUCCUCUUCAAUAUGAAAUGUUAGUGCUACAUAGAUUGAGGUGGCAUGCAUCAUAUCCAUAAUCAAACUGACCUUGUAAACUCUGUCGUCUUUUGCAUAAAACAUAGAUGUUUCCAUGCAGAGAGACACCGAAGAAGAUAGUGCUUUCACCAUAUAACACGAACACCAACAUUUACUCACAUCUGCUUUAGUCAGUUUGGGUAAGGUUAAGCUCUUAAACUCCUGAACGGUAUGAGAAUCUUCCUCGUAAUAGAAGAAUACAAGAGCCACAUGUAGAUCCUCAAGAAUCGGACAUCCGGCUAGAAGCAACAUAAAAUCUCGAACUUCUGAGAACUUAAUGAGUCUCAAACUAAGGGUUUUAAGUGAUGGAAAUUCAAAUCCAACGGAAGUAAAAGAAAAACCAUCCACACGGAACCAACUGAGAUUUAGACUUACAAGGGUUUUGCAUGUGAAGAUGCUAAUGGGCAGUUUGGGGAAGUAUGGGUAACCACUAAAGUGAUCAGGAAGAGGCACACGAAGACGGAGAUGAAGAUACUUGAGUCCGCGUUGAACAACAGAGUUGACCCAUUUGGUGAGAUUGGGGAACUCUUUAUUAUAGGCAAGAUGAGAAUCACUAUACUGAAUGUUGAGGUGGAAACUGUCAAUGAAACGAGAUCCAGAAGCGUCUCGAGAGACCAAAACAGAGUACACAAAUUCGUUAAAACGGAGAUUGGAUUCAACGGUAUUCACUCUGAUGUCGGUGAAAUCGAUAUUGGGAAGAUAAUGCCAGAGAUUAGUCCACCUCUUGGACAAAACGCUUGUAGCAACUGCUUCUUUUGUGGAUACAAAUGAGAGAAUGCGGAAAAGGAUUUCGUCGGGCAAACUGCUGAUCUUAUCCACCUUUGAUUCUGAAGUUGAAAUUAUCGGUCGCCGUCGCUGCAUUUCACCUUCCUUUUUUUCUUCUUCUUCUACUUCACACAAGUGGAGUUACGCAGA